rnacentral:rRNA from 1 species
CCUACGGGUGGCUGCAGUGAGGAAUAUUGGUCAAUGGGCGUAAGCCUGAACCAGCCAUCCCGCGUGCAGGAAGAAGGCGCUAUGCGUCGUAAACUGCUUUUCCAGGGGAAGAAAACCCGCUACGUGUAGUGGCUUGCCGGUACCCUGGGAAUAAGCAGCGGCUAACUCCGUGCCAGCAGCCGCGGUAAUACGGAGGAUGCGAGCGUUAUCCGGAUUAAUUGGGUCGAAAGGGUGCGUAGGCGGAAGUAUAGAGAACCUUCAGCUUAACUGGAGACUUGCCAUUGAUACUGUUAGUCUUGAGUACGGUCAAGGUAGGCGGAAUGUGUAAUGUAGCGGUGAAAUGCUUAGAUAUUACACAGAACACCGAUUGCGAAGGCAGCUUACUGGGCCAUUACUGACGCUGAUGCACGAAAGCGUGGGGAGCGAACAGGAUUAGAUACCCGAGUAGUC